rnacentral:rRNA from 1 species
UACGAAGGGGGCUAGCGUUGCUCGGAAUCACUGGGCGUAAAGCGCACGUAGGCGGCUUGCUAAGUCAGGGGUGAAAUCCUGGAGCUCAACUCCAGAACUGCCUUUGAUACUGGCGACCUUGAGUCCGGGAGAGGUGAGUGGAACUGCGAGUGUAGAGGUGAAAUUCGUAGAUAUUCGCAAGAACACCAGUGGCGAAGGCGGCUCGCUGGCCCGAUACUGACGCUGAGGUGCGAAAGCGUGGGGAGCAAACAGG